UACGCCGACGUAUAUUAUUUUUGAAUUUAACAAUCUUCAGUGAAUCUUCACAAUAUUCUUAAUAGGGAUUAUUAGUUGUUUUUAUUCUCCAACGACAGAUACUAUUCAUCCCCAGGAGCUUCAUUUGCAGACCUACCCGAGAGUUGGAAGUACAGAACAGAUAUGAUAAGAAACGUGAGGGAUACAGCACGUCUUUUAUGCGCCGCAUGUUUGACCAUUUGGCUGUAUUUGUUCGGAAAACUUAUCUUGUCUGUCACAGAUAAGUUGUAUGUUCAGCCGCUAUGCCAUUCUUCUGAGUUAACUUCAUUCUACAACAUAGAUACUGAGAUUCUUCCCUGGGACAUUGUUGAGAAAAAUGUAAAAAAUGUUCAUCUUGGAGGACGCUUUACACCCAAAGACUGCAUAUCAGUGUGGAAGGUCGCAAUCAUCAUUCCUUACAGAGACAGAGAAAAUCAUCUAAAGGUGUUCUUGAGAAAUAUUCACCCGUUUUUACAACAACAAAGACUUGAAUAUGGAAUAUUCGUUAUC
rnacentral:lncRNA from 1 species